rnacentral:rRNA from 1 species
UACGGGGGGGAGCAAGCGUUGUUCGGAUUUACUGGGCGUAAAGGGCGCGUAGGCGGUCAGCACAAGUCAGUUGUGAAAUCUCCGGGCUUAACUCGGAAAGGUCAACUGAUACUGUGCGACUAGAGUGCAGAAGGGGCAACUGGAAUUCUUGGUGUAGAGGUGAAAUUCGUAGAUAUCGGGAGGAACAUCAGUGGCGAAGGCGGCCAUCUGGACAGGUAUUGACGCUGAGGUGCGAAAGCGUGGGGAGCAAACAGG